AUUGAACGCUAGCGGGAUGCCUUACACAUGCAAGUCGAACGGAGUGGCGAACGGGUGAGUAACGCGUAGGCACCUGCCUCAUAGAGGGGGAUAACUAUUGGAAACGAUAGCUAAUACCGCAUACUGUGAGAUGGACCUGCGUUGUAUUAGCUAGUUGGUGAGGUAAAGCCUCACCAAGGCGACGAUCCAUAGACGACCUGAGAGGGUGAUCGGCCACACUGGGACUGAGACACGGCCCAGACUCCUACGGGAGGCAGCAGUAGGGAAUAUUGCACAAUGGGCGCAAGCCUGAUGCAGCCAUGCCGCGUGUAUGAAGAAGGCCUUCGGGUUGUAAAGCACUUUUGGCAGGAAAGCGUUACCUGCAGAAUAAGCACCGGCUAACUACGUGCCAGCAGCCGCGGUAAUUC
rnacentral:rRNA from 1 species